GUGCUCGCUUCGGCAGCACAUUUAUUAAAUUUGGAACAAUACAGAGAAGAAAAUCAGCAUGGCCCCUGUGUGAGGAUAACACCCCAAUUCAUGAAGUGUUCCAUAUUUUU